CAGCAGCCGCGGUAAGACAGAGGAUGCAAGCGUUAAUCGGAUUUACUGGGCGUAAAGCGUGCGUAGGCGGCUUCUUAAGUCGGAUGUGAAAUCCCUGAGCUUAACUUAGGAAUUGCAUUCGAUACUGGGAAGCUAGAGUAUGGGAGAGGAUGGUAGAAUUCCAGGUGUAGCGGUGAAAUGCGUAGAGAUCUGGAGGAAUACCGAUGGCGAAGGCAGCCAUCUGGCCUAAUACUGACGCUGAGGUACGAAAGCAUGGGGAGCAAACAGGAUUAGAUACCCCCGUAGUCCCUGUCUCUUAUAC
rnacentral:rRNA from 1 species